UGAGCAACCUGCCCCUGACUCUGGGAUAACCCCGGGAAACCGGAGCUAAUACCGGAUACGACAUGCGAAGGCAUCUUCUGCGUGUAGAAAGAUUUAUCGGUCAGGGAUGGGCUCGCGGCCUAUCAGCUUGUUGGUGGGGUAACGGCCCACCAAGGCGACGACGGGUAGCCGGCCUGAGAGGGCGACCGGCCACACUGGGACUGAGACACGGCCCAGACUCCUACGGGAGGCA
rnacentral:rRNA from 1 species